UACAGAGGUCCCAAGCGUUGUUCGGAUUCACUGGGCGUAAAGGGUGCGUAGGUGGCGGGGUAAGUCGGAUGUGAAAUCUCCGAGCUCAACUCGGAAACUGCAUUGGAAACUACCUUGCUUGAGGGUUGGAGGGGGGACUGGAAUUCUCGGUGUAGCAGUGAAAUGCGUAGAUAUCGAGAGGAACACCAGUGGCGAAGGCGAGUCCCUGGACAACUCCUGACACUGAGGCACGAAGGCCAGGGGAGCAAACGGG
rnacentral:rRNA from 1 species